CAAUGGGGUAUGAUAACGAGUCCUUAGCGUUCAAUCAUAUGUCAAAAUGAAUUGAAUAAUAUUAAAAGAGUUACUGUAGGUAAGGAUUGGUCCGUAAAUAAGGCAUUUAAGGACUCAAUCCUUAUAGACGUGGCAUGUUGUCAUUGGCUCUCUAUCUCUCUCUCGUCUUCUCCGCUAUCUCUCUCUUGUCUUCUCCGCUCUGUUAAUUUUCUCAGGAAAGUGUAGAUUGAAGUUCUGGUAUCUGAAUCAUGAAGUUCGGUGAGUCUUCUUCUCCAUCAUCCUGAUUUGCAAUCUGAUAGAUAUCAAUCCGUCGUAACAAUGUUUCUUUCCUAGAGCUGGCGUCACCGUUGAAGAAGUCCGUUCCGCUUCCCCUGUUUCUGAUCCUCCUCCUCUCUAUCCUCCCGUGUUAACCACCCCCGUCUCGUUACCCACUCCGGAAGCUAUUGGCUACCCGAGUGCACAGCAGGUCAUGAGCUUCAAAGGUAAGCCCACUGACAAAAGGCAGGUGCUUGAUGAGAUUGAGAUAAGAGAGCUGCGCAUUGAUCACAUCGACCACCGUUGCUGUUGGGGAAGCCGUCCUGCUCGCACAUGGAAGAUCCGUGCUGUCGUCUGCUCGUAACAACGUUUCUUUCCCCGGAUAAUAUGGUUGCUACGAAGCUCUUUGCGGAGAAGUCAUGGCUGGAUCAAGGAGUUGAAUGAGAGCAAUGAUGAUUGCAUCACAAAAUGUUUGGUAGACUUGAAUGGUGUUUUGGUUGUCGUGUUGAGGCUUUUGUUGAUGAUUUAGAUUGUUGUAGUAUGGUAGUUGAAAGCAUGAAUACGUCAGUGGUCCAUAUGAAGGUAAUUUGAAGUACACUCUAUAUGGUGUGUUAGUUCAUUAUGGUGGAGUAUUGAUUCUGGUCACUACUACUGCUUUGUUCGCACUUCAAGUGGCAUAUGGUAUUCCCUUGAUGAUAACAAGGUUAUCCAAGUUAGUGAGAAGACUGUGUUCAACCAGAAAGCGUAUAAGUUGAUUCGAGAGUAAUGCAUUGUUUUUUCUCAGAUCAAUGUAAUGUAUUUGAGAUGUGAAUUUUAACCCAAAAAAAAAAAUUCUCCUAA